rnacentral:rRNA from 1 species
CAGCAGCCGCGGGAAUACGUAGGGUCCGAGCGUUGUCCGGAAUUACUGGGCGUAAAGAGCUCGUAGGUGGUUUGUCGCGUUGUUCGUGAAAACUCACAGCUCAACUGUGGGCGUGCGGGCGAUACGGGCAGACUGGAGUACUGCAGGGGAGACUGGAAUUCCUGGUGUAGCGGUGGAAUGCGCAGAUAUCAGGAGGAACACCGGUGGCGAAGGCGGGUCUCUGGGCAGUAACUGACGCUGAGGAGCGAAAGCGUGGGGAGCGAACAGGAUUAGAGACCCCUGUAGUUCCUGUCUCUUAUAC